CGCGGUAUUACAAGAAAUGAAAAAUCUUUUUUAGGGUUUUGCUGGUUGUGUGGGUGAGGCACAUAUUCUCGCUGGGUUGCAUGUCUUUCAGUCACGUGUUUAUUCUCAAGAUGACACAUUUUCCCCUCUGUAGUGAGUUAUAUUGCUGCAGAUGUGGGGCAAGGUACAGUUAUAUGAGCAGUGAGAGCACAUCUCUGCUGAUAUCACCCUGCAGACAGGAUGUGGGGGCGGAGGAGUUGGUUUCACUUUGACUGAUUUAUCUCCUCAGUCACACCUUUUCUUUGGAUUAUUAGCUCCUGAGCACCCAAUCUCCAGGUGAAGUCCUAUACGAAGAAUAAACUCAGCUGUUUGGUGAGAAACUCAACUAAACUGCUCCCUUGCUGAUUCGAGGCAGGACUGGGGAUGGCUGUGCCCAUCAGGCCUUGUGGGGAGAAUGUUACAAUGGCAGACCUCUCCAGCAGUCCGUCUGCUCCCAGACUCAGCAUCAGACAAGCGAAGCAACACAAAUGAAGCUUAGUUGUGAAUCGUCACAAUCCUCCUCAACCCCCAUUCACCUCCAGUUACAUGACUUCCAGCUCCUAGUUCUGAACUCAUCAGAAGCUCCUCCAGAUUUCAGCAGUCUCUUCAUCAACCGUCACCACCACCAGUUUCUAGACUUUAUCGAGGGGGUAUCUUAUACCACGCACAACUUCCGUUAUUACCUCCCUAAUAUUUAAUGACGUCACAACGGGAUCUAAUCGCCAACGACUAUUCAUGCGUUUCUCAUCUUUAUGGUGAAUGUGUAAGUAAGUUUUGUUGACUCUUAAUGAAGUCUCUCCUGAUUAAAAUGCAGGUCUACACACACAAGACUGAGAAUGAGAAAAGGCUCUUUCUGUCACACAUACACACACAACUUGCGGUCUCUUUCUGUCUUAGGGUGACACUCUCAGCCUUCAAUAUAACACAUUCUCAUUGGUGAUGAAAACUUAAGCUUAAGGAAAACUGUCUGUAUUCAAUAUUAAUGGGAAAGCCCCGAAAUUCUCUCUUGAAAUAUAUUUUAUUCAAAGGGGGAUUUUGCCUCAAUAGCUAGUCACUUUCUUGUAAACUCACUUCAUUUAAAAAAACAAAGGACUAUCAAUUAGGACAGCAUUCAGGGUGAAAGAGGACCAUGUCUGUGGAGUUGUUUGCUUGACUGACAGGUGUCUCAGCCUAUCACAGUCAUCCACAGUGCUUGCCACUUCCUUGUCCCACAUCAGCCCAAUCUAGGUUUCCUCCUCACUGAGCCUGAAAUUAGGAUUUUCUGGUUCCAGUAACAGUAAAGAUAUCAACAGGCCAGAUAUCCAAACAUCCUUUCAAAAAUCUACAGUUCAAUGGGUCCCCUUUAGACUGUGGUUACAAUCCAUGUGGGAUCACUUAUGUAUCUUCAGCAAUUCAGAAAUUUAAAAAACCAGACGUACUGAAAGUAAAACACAAGCUUUGGCCUAUCAAAUCUAGAUUCAGUAUGAAAAAGUUCUUAAAUCAUGGUCAAAUGGUUAUUGCAGUCACCACUUCUGUGGUUUGAAGCCUUUACCACAGCGUGAAAGGCAAUACCAGUGUAAGGAUUUAUUACAGCUUUAUGAUACAAGGCUUACGACUUCAUUUUACUUUGACUUGGAGGUACACUACAUAUUGCCACAUAUUCACUGGGAGACACGUUUCCCCCAAAUGAUCUAUCCAACAUGAAGGCCAGUGUAGAGACUCACAUAGGACCACAGCGCAGUGACUCUGGGAGGGUGACCAGUACUCCCUCCACCCUCUCCUAUUAUAAUGCGUGAGAGGAGCCCCUCUGCCUCCAUGGCCUCUAGCUGACCUCCCACUGCCUUCAGACAGAACACUUAACAUUGCUUCCCCACCUGUAGAGAUGUCUAAAGAACAGGGCCCACUUCAAAGCCAUGCAGUGAUUGGGCCAUGAUUACCACAGGCACUUCACUCAUUUCAUCUCCUCCGAAGGACUAAACUUUGGGGGAAUCAGGCAUGGAGACACAGGAUUCUUUAGAUUUUAGCCCCCUUUGGAGGUACUUUUCAGGGUCCACAAGAUGAUUUAUUUUGACGAUAAGAUACUAGUGGAAAAACACAUCAUUACGGCUGGGUGCAAAAUAUGUAUAACUGUAAACAUGAAAUGUUAUUUUAAUAAUGCAACCAGUGUUUUUUUUGUUUUUUUUUUUUUUACAAUGAUAGCUUAUCAGAAUGACUUAUGCUGCUAAGGUUUUUUGAAUUAGGUAGUGGGCAACUGGCACAGAUGUUUGCAAAGGAAUGUCAUUUUGUAUCAGUCGAGAAGCAGUUUGAUAAAGCGGCACUUCCACUGUGACAUGAAAGCCCAACUGGGUUCAACAACAACCGUCAUCUCUGCUCUGCUUUUCUGUAGCUAAAUGCCAGUGACAGGAACAGAAUUCACUGUGGUAACUGAUCAGGUGCCAAGCGCCCUCUCCCCAGUGCCCUGCUGCACUGAAGCCCUCUGUGGAGCUGGCAUGGCCUGGCUUGGCCUGGCAGCCACGGGGCCUGCUUUGUAUC